CUCCAAACCGACAACAGGCUUGAGUUCGAUAGUGCUGCCGUCCGCUCUCUACUUAGUCGCCACGACACUCAUCUCCGGCUCUCGUGUCCUUACACAAGCCAGCAGAACGGGAAGGCCGAGCGCAUCCUCCGGACACUCAAUGACAGUGUGCGUGCUCUCCUCUUUCAUGCAUCCAUGCCGGCACGUUUCUGGGUCGAAGCCCUCAACACAGCCACCUAUCUCCUCAAUCGCCGGCCGUGUCAUGCUAGCGCACCACGCACGCCCCAUGAGCUUCUCCUAGGUGUCGCUCCUGACUACUCCCUCCUACGCGUCUUCGGGUGCUUGUGCUAUCCAAACCUCGCUGCCACGGCCAAACACAAGCUUGCUCCUCGCUCCGUCGCGUGUAUCUUCCUUGUCUACCCUUCUGACCACCGCGGCUAUAGGUGUUUCGACCCCACGACGCGUCGCGUGCUCACAUCUCGCCAUGUCCGCUUCCACGAGUCGAUCUUCCCCUUC
rnacentral:rRNA from 1 species